CUAUGUUGUACUGACCCAACACCUCGGCUGUCAGGAUGUGUUUUGAGGCCUGAAAAACAUCAUUAUACUGAUCUGGGAAACGUCCAUCUGGAGCCAGCCUGUACCUGAACAUACAAAACAAAAUAUACAAAUGAAAUCUGAUAUCACAACUGCAUCCAGCUCUUCAGCCAUCAUCAUGCACUGAAGAUUCCACUGUGAAAAAUCAGCAAUACUAAUGGAUUAUUUCCCAAAGACAUAAAUGC